CUGCACUUAGAAUACCUUGAUAUAUUAUAAAUUGUUAGUGGUUUCCAUAUCUCAACACGUGUCUAAUCUCUUCAAGAUCUUUGUGGAGAAAUUCCAUAUGAUUGGAAGAAAAAGUCGAAAGUAGUAAAGCUAUUAAGAUUCAUCUCAACCAGUUGUGGACAAAACCUGAAUAACAUGAGAGAAGAAUAGGGGUCCUAACUCUUGUCUGGAAAAAUUUUAUCAGACCUUUGAGUAUUCGGGAAUUAUCCCCGUAUGUUCUCCAGAUGAAGUGGAAAUCAGUCGGCCACAUUCAGCAUAGCUGUAUCAAACCACUGGGUUGGUAAAAGUAAAUUUCAAAAGGGAGAAAGACAGAAAGGGUUCAAAGGAACCAUGCAAGUGAAAAAGUAACAAGUUAUACAAUGAAAGCAAUACAUACAAAACUCAGCAAGAUAUAUAAAAAAAUUCAGUAUUAGUUAAUUUUGAAUAAAGAAAAGAACAAUGCAAAAUGACAACAUUAUCAUUUUCAGCUGUGCUAGUAGGGGUAUGAUCUAAAAAGGACAGGAUAUUAAGGGCUUGUUUGAGCCACAAUAUUUUCAAAAAAAUACAUUCUUCAUCAGUGAUUUGACAUCAUUUCAACCACAUAUUCUUCAAUAAAAUAAUAUUACACGCAAAUCUAAAACUUUUUCUUAUUUUUUAACCACACAUUUCUUAUUGAUUUGACAUGAAUAAUGCAUUUUUUUCCCUAGAAUGUGGCUCAAACAUGAGCUAAAUUUGCUAAUAUUGCAACAUAAUACGAAUGGAUAACCAUGAUAACAGCACAAUGUGAAGGCAGCAUAACCUUGACAAAAGUGGAAGCAAAGGCUUGCCUAGUCUCUGUAGAUCAGCAAGGUUCAUACUGCUUCCAUUGCCUUCCUUUUUGGUUGGUGGUCAGGAGAGGAAGUAAAAUCAGUACCAGUUUCAAGGCAUGCAAAUUCAUGUCAAAGAGAUAAGAAUGAUUGAUAUAUAAAUAAAACCUGAAGUAGACGCAAGUCCCGCAAAUGUGAAGAUAUCAUGAGUCUAAAACUCAAUAAAUUGACCAACUAAUGCGCCACAAAACAAACAGCCACGUUGCCAGCUGCUUGAAAACCUGGCGCAACCCGUAAGAUCACAAAUAAUGAGCAUACUAAAACAUCACAAAUAAAUACACUUUAAGGCAAAUUUGCAGGUUAUCAGUUUCAGUUAAUAUCAUUUGUUACAAUAAGAUGACCAUAAACAGUAACAGCACGUGGAAACAGUUGGAUCUCUUUCACUGCACUUCUAUCACUGAACAUACUGUUUUGAGUUACCAUUGGACGAAACAUAUAGAUGUCCAACUCUGGUAAGUUUUAGUUGGAAGUUGGCUCCCUUAAACAUAAAUGCAGAUCAUACUGUCAUUCCUGAUUCUUGUUCUUACUUGAGGCUAUUAUAGCAGCCACCCACAUGAAAUGAUUCAUAAGUCUUUGUCUUCUAGAAAAUAUUAGCCAUUGGUGUAGAUUUUGAAGUCUGGGUUUCAUAGACAAACGCUUUCGAAUUUAGACCCUGUUUGACAACCGUUUUUUGAAAACUCUUUUUUCCUUAUACUCAUUUUCGAUCAUAUAUUCUGACAAUAAAAUAUUCUGCAUGUAAAUCAAAAACUUUUUCUCAUUUUUCAACCACACAUUCUCAAAAAAAUCACUAUUCCAAAACUCAUUUUCUUCAAAAAAUGAUUGUCAAACAGGAGCUUACAUUUCAGAACCAUGAUGCAAUGCUAGAAUCAGGGAAAUUUGUCAUUGUUUGCAUGGUAUUCCUCUACUAGUGACUUGUGUGAAUGACAACCAAAGGUAGAAAUUCCUCAUCUCCAUAAAUUGUAGUCAAAAAGACCUAAUCAUAGCAUAGAGUGCUCCCACAUCAUAUCAAGGAAUAAUAGAUGGCACAAUCAAUUGGCAUAAAGUAGGAAACUGAUGUUCAAUUUAGGGCAAAAAGCCACAGAAUAACAUAAAGACGCAAGAAGAAACCUUCUGCUUGCUUUAAUCCUUUGAUAGAGCCACGGAUAUCGUCAUCUUCGGAAUAUGCAGGACCACCACUCGGUAGAAGUAUG
rnacentral:lncRNA from 1 species